UACGUAGGGAGCGAGCGUUAUCCGGAUUUAUUGGGUGUAAAGGGUGCGUAGAUGGAUAAACAAGUUGGUUGUGAAAUCCCUCGGCUUAACUGAGGAAUUGCAACCAAAACUGUAGAUCUUGAGUACUGGAGGGGAAAGCGGAAUUCCUAGUGUAGCGGUGAAAUGCGUAGAUAUUAGGAGGAACACCAGUGGCGAAAGCGGCUCUCUGGUCUGUAACUGACGCUGAGGUUCGAAAGCGUGGGUAGCAAACAGG
rnacentral:rRNA from 1 species